AGCAGCCAUGUAGGACGAUUUUUGGUGUGUGAAGCGCAGCAAGCCAAGAACAGUCCGUGAGGGACUGUUUCGGCGACCGGACCGGUUCUCUCUCCUCCGGCCAGCUCAGGUGGCGCCACCACCUGCAUCUUGAAGCUCUCCCUUCCAGCAGAAAACCCUCAAAAGGUUUCACUCCAUCUUGAACUAGGUAAGGAGAAUCGAGCAUUUGAAACUCUAGGGCUUAUUGUGUGUUUGGCUUCGGUUACCCUAGUUAGGUUUGAAAUUGGACUUUGUGGUAGUUAUGAAAGUUGUUUGGAAUGAUGAGAGGAAGAUUGUGUCAAAAUUUAGUAGACAUUGGGGGUCGCCGGAGUUUGGCUGCCGGCCGUCGGCGGCGCCGGCGCCGGCGCCGCAUAAGGGUAGUUUUUCAUGUUUUUGAGUUUGUUUUAAUGAAAGGAGUUUAUUGAUGUGAAGUUUGGAAUUUUUGGAGGAGUUUUGAUUAGGUUUGGAAUUUUUCAGAAAUUGGAGAAAUUGACGGUUGAUAGAAUAGAUCCGACUAUUUGAUUUACUUGGACAUGGUCCAAAAGUGCUAGAACAAUAAAGUGAGGUGGUAAUUGGAGUUUGGCAUGAAUCUGAUAAGCUUAACCCUAGCUAGGGUAGUGGGUUAGGCGGAAGAUUUUCAGGAUGUUAUAUUAAAGCAUUUAUUUUUCCAAAAUUGUAGUGUGGUUCUAAUUAUGCUUAUGGUGUUAGGAUUCAUGGAGACCUCACGCGUAUGGCGUUGUGGAUAUCGUCAGGCUUAUGCCUAAAUCUGUGAGUGGACAUUUUGGUUUUAAAUAAAUAUGCAUGCAAGACUUUAUAAUUUACUAUUUUAUUUCCUGAGCUUACAUUAUAAUUUUGGGUUUAUGAGAUGAUCUUGGAAUUCAUUUGAGUUUGAUGCAUGUAGUAAUCCUUGUCAUAAUAUAUGGAUUUGAGCUCGGAUCAUUAAUUUGGUAUUUGAAUUUGGUUAUUGUUUAUGAUUUCUGGAUUUAAUUA
rnacentral:lncRNA from 1 species